AGGGUUGUAGUUAAACAUAACAUUUGACUUGCAUUCAAAAAGUAUUGAAUUAUCAAUCAUCCUUA
rnacentral:tRNA from 1 species